AUAUAUAUAUGUGUGUGUAUGUGCACAUAAGAAAUGUGGGGCUCGGACUGCCAGAGUAGUCCGGGCCCCCCAGGACCGUCAGGGCUAUGACAACCUUUAUGGCGGCCCUGGCUGUAUGAACUUUGUGAAGUUGGUGGAGUGUUUUUUGUGUAGGGGGAUGUGCAGGUUUUUGGGUUUUUUUUAAUUAAUGGGGGGGUGUAGGUUUUAUUUUAUUUUUU